rnacentral:tRNA from 1 species
GGCACCAUGGCUCACUUGGCUAACGUGCCUGCUUAAUAAGCAAGCAAUCCUGGGUUCAACUCCCAGUGGUGACU